CGGAAAGUAGCGAGAGGAGAGGAUUAGCGCACUUGAAUGGGGUUCAAGGGGUCGCGGGUUCAAAUCCCGCCCUCCCGACCA
rnacentral:tRNA from 1 species